UACGUAGGGUGCGAGCGUUGUCCGGAAUUAUUGGGCGUAAAGAGCUCGUAGGCGGCCUGUCGCGUCGGUUGUGAAAGCCCGGGGCUUAACCCCGGGUCUGCAGUCGAUACGGGCAGGCUAGAGUUCGGUAGGGGAGAUCGGAAUUCCUGGUGUAGCGGUGAAAUGCGCAGAUAUCAGGAAGAACACCCGUGGCUAAGGCGGCUCUCUAGUACGGUACUGACGCUGAGACGCGAAAGCGUGGGGAGCGAACAGG
rnacentral:rRNA from 1 species